GGGUUGUGAGGUUAAGCGACUAAGCGUACACGGUGGAUGCCCUGGCAGUCAGAGGCGAUGAAGGGCGUGCUAAUCUGCGAUAAGCGCCGGUAAGGUGAUAUGAACCGUUAUAACCGGCGAUACCCGAAUGGGGAAACCCAGUGUGAUUCGUCACACUAUCAUUAACUGAAUCCAUAGGUUAAUGAGGCGAACCGGGGGAACUGAAACAUCUAAGUACCCCGAGGAAAAGAAAUCAACCGAGAUUCCCCCAGUAGCGGCGAGCGAACGGGGAGGAGCCCAGAGCCUGAAUCAGCAUGUGUGUUAGUGGAAGCGUCUGGAAAGGCGCGCGAUACAGGGUGACAGCCCCGUACACAAAAGCGCAUAUGCUGUGAGCUCGAUGAGUAGGGCGGGACACGUGGUAUCCUGUCUGAAUAUGGGGGGACCAUCCUCCAAGGCUAAAUACUCCUGACUGACCGAUAGUGAACCAGUACCGUGAGGGAAAGGCGAAAAGAACCCCGGCGAGGGGAGUGAAAAAGAACCUGAAACCGUGUACGUACAAGCAGUGGGAGCCCCACCACUAAGCCAGUGGUGAACUCCACAUACGCAUCCUUUGCUGAGGAUACGGUUAACGGAGCGAAAGCGACGUUCAACCUCAAAAGAAGCAGAGGGGGCUUAGUGGUGGGGUGACUGCGUACCUUUUGUAUAAUGGGUCAGCGACUUAUAUUCUGUAGCAAGGUUAACCGAAUAGGGGAGCCGGAGGGAAACCGAGUCUUAAUUGGGCGUUAAGUUGCAGGGUAUAGACCCGAAACCCGGUGAUCUAGCCAUGGGCAGGUUGAAGGUUGGGUAACACUAACUGGAGGACCGAACCGACUAAUGUUGAAAAAUUAGCGGAUGACCUGUGGCUGGGGGUGAAAGGCCAAUCAAACCGGGAGAUAGCUGGUUCUCCCCGAAAGCUAUUUAGGUAGCGCCUCGUGAAUUCAUCUCCGGGGGUAGAGCACUGUUUCGGCUAGGGGGCCAUCCCGGCUUACCAACCCGAUGCAAACUGCGAAUACCGGAGAAUGUUAUCACGGGAGACACACGGCGGGUGCUAACGUCCGUCGUGAAGAGGGAAACAACCCAGACCGCCAGCUAAGGUCCCAAAGUCAUGGUUAAGUGGGAAACGAUGUGGGAAGGCCCAGACAGCCAGGAUGUUGGCUUAGAAGCAGCCAUCAUUUAAAGAAAGCGUAAUAGCUCACUGGUCGAGUCGGCCUGCGCGGAAGAUGUAACGGGGCUAAACCAUGCACCGAAGCUGCGGCAGCGACACUGUGUGUUGUUGGGUAGGGGAGCGUUCUGUAAGCCUGUGAAGGUGGCCUGUGAGGGUUGCUGGAGGUAUCAGAAGUGCGAAUGCUGACAUAAGUAACGAUAAAGCGGGUGAAAAGCCCGCUCGCCGGAAGACCAAGGGUUCCUGUCCAACGUUAAUCGGGGCAGGGUGAGUCGACCCCUAAGGCGAGGCCGAAAGGCGUAGUCGAUGGGAAACGGGUUAAUAUUCCCGUACUUGGUGUUACUGCGAAGGGGGGACGGAGAAGGCUAUGUUGGCCGGGCGACGGUUGUCCCGGUUUAAGCGUGUAGGCUGGUUUUCCAGGCAAAUCCGGAAAAUCAAGGCUGAGGCGUGAUGACGAGGCACUACGGUGCUGAAGCAACAAAUGCCCUGCUUCCAGGAAAAGCCUCUAAGCAUCAGGUAACAUCAAAUCGUACCCCAAACCGACACAGGUGGUCAGGUAGAGAAUACCAAGGCGCUUGAGAGAACUCGGGUGAAGGAACUAGGCAAAAUGGUGCCGUAACUUCGGGAGAAGGCACGCUGACAUGUAGGUGAAGUGAUUUACUCAUGGAGCUGAAGUCAGUCGAAGAUACCAGCUGGCUGCAACUGUUUAUUAAAAACACAGCACUGUGCAAACACGAAAGUGGACGUAUACGGUGUGACGCCUGCCCGGUGCCGGAAGGUUAAUUGAUGGGGUCAGCGCAAGCGAAGCUCCUGAUCGAAGCCCCGGUAAACGGCGGCCGUAACUAUAACGGUCCUAAGGUAGCGAAAUUCCUUGUCGGGUAAGUUCCGACCUGCACGAAUGGCGUAAUGAUGGCCAGGCUGUCUCCACCCGAGACUCAGUGAAAUUGAACUCGCUGUGAAGAUGCAGUGUACCCGCGGCAAGACGGAAAGACCCCGUGAACCUUUACUAUAGCUUGACACUGAACAUUGAGCCUUGAUGUGUAGGAUAGGUGGGAGGCUUUGAAGUGUGGACGCCAGUCUGCAUGGAGCCGACCUUGAAAUACCACCCUUUAAUGUUUGAUGUUCUAACGUGGACCCGUAAUCCGGGUUGCGGACAGUGUCUGGUGGGUAGUUUGACUGGGGCGGUCUCCUCCUAAAGAGUAACGGAGGAGCACGAAGGUUGGCUAAUCCUGGUCGGACAUCAGGAGGUUAGUGCAAUGGCAUAAGCCAGCUUGACUGCGAGCGUGACGGCGCGAGCAGGUGCGAAAGCAGGUCAUAGUGAUCCGGUGGUUCUGAAUGGAAGGGCCAUCGCUCAACGGAUAAAAGGUACUCCGGGGAUAACAGGCUGAUACCGCCCAAGAGUUCAUAUCGACGGCGGUGUUUGGCACCUCGAUGUCGGCUCAUCACAUCCUGGGGCUGAAGUAGGUCCCAAGGGUAUGGCUGUUCGCCAUUUAAAGUGGUACGCGAGCUGGGUUUAGAACGUCGUGAGACAGUUCGGUCCCUAUCUGCCGUGGGCGCUGGAGAACUGAGGGGGGCUGCUCCUAGUACGAGAGGACCGGAGUGGACGCAUCACUGGUGUUCGGGUUGUCAUGCCAAUGGCACUGCCCGGUAGCUAAAUGCGGAAGAGAUAAGUGCUGAAAGCAUCUAAGCACGAAACUUGCCCCGAGAUGAGUUCUCCCUGAGACUUAGAGUCUCCUGAAGGAACGUUGAAGACGACGACGUUGAUAGGCCGGGUGUGUAAGCGCAGCGAUGCGUUGAGCUAACCGGUACUAAUGAACCGUGAGGCUUAACCUUACAACGCCGAAG
rnacentral:rRNA from 1 species